GUUGGUGUAGCUCAAUGGUAGAGUGCAUGAUCUGUAUGUAUGAUGUCCUGGGUUCAAUCCCCAGCUUCUCUC